rnacentral:rRNA from 1 species
ACGCUCGACACCUACGGGAUGCAGCAGUAGGGAAUCUUCCACAAUGGACGCAAGUCUGAUGGAGCAACGCCGCGUGAGUGAAGAAGGUCUUCGGAUCGUAAAACUCUGUUGUUAGAGAAGAACACGAGUGAGAGUAACUGUUCAUUCGAUGACGGUAUCUAACCAGCAAGUCACGGCUAACUACGUACCAGCAGCCGCGGUAAUCUGAGCGGGCUGGCAAGGC